rnacentral:piRNA from 1 species
AACUGUUUCACAGUGCCAUGGCUC